AGGCCUGGCGGCAGCUUACACAUGCAGUCGAGCGGAACGAUACCAGCUUGCUGGUAGGCGUCGAGCGGCGGACGGGUGAGUAAUACUUAGGAAUCUACCUAGUAGUGGGGGAUAGCUCGGGGAAACUCGAAUUAAUACCGCAUACGACCUACGGGAGAAAGGGGGCAGUUUACUGCUCUCGCUAUUAGAUGAGCCUAAGUCGGAUUAGCUAGAUGGUGGGGUAAAGGCCUACCAUGGCGACGAUCUGUAGCUGGUCUGAGAGGAUGAUCAGCCACACCGGGACUGAGACACGGCCCGGACUCCUACGGGAGGCAGCAGUGGGGAAUAUUGGACAAUGGGGGAAACCCUGAUCCAGCCAUGCCGCGUGUGUGAAGAAGGCCUUUUGGUUGUAAAGCACUUUAAGCAGUGAAGAAGACUCCUCGGUUAAUACCCGUGGACGAUGACAUUAGCUGCAGAAUAAGCACCGGCUAACUCUGUGCCAGCAGCCGCGGUAAUACUGAGGGUGCAAGCGUUAAUCGGAAUUACUGGGCGUAAAGCGAGCGUAGGUGGCUUGAUAAGUCAGAUGUGAAAUCCCCGGGCUUAACCUGGGAACUGCAUCUGAAACUGUUAGGCUAGAGUAGGUGAGAGGAAGGUAGAAUUCCAGGUGUAGCGGUGAAAUGCGUAGAGAUCUGGAGGAAUACCGAUGGCGAAGGCAGCCUUCUGGCAUCAUACUGACACUGAGGCUCGAAAGCGUGGGUAGCAAACAGGAUUAGAUACCCUGCUAGUCCACGCCGUAAACGAUGUCUACUAGUCGUUGGGUCCCUUGAGGACUUAGUGACGCAGCUAACGCAAUAAGUAGACCGCCUGGGGAGUACGGCCGCAAGGUUAAAACUCAAUGAAUUUGACGGGGGCCCGCACAAGCGGUGGAGCAUGUGGUUUAUUUCGAUGCACGCGAGACCUUACCUGGUCUGACAUAUCUAGAAUCUGCAGAGAUGCGGGAGUGCCUUCGGGAAUCAGAUACAGUGCUGCAUGCUGUCG
rnacentral:rRNA from 1 species